ACAAUUGAAUGAAAAGGCUUACUAAAUGGAAACCGGUGUAAUUCCGGUACGGACCCGCCACUGUGAUUAGUAGUGGUAUACUACUAUCAGUCAGAUCUUUUUAGUAAGCUACUUAUGAGAAGUGACAUUUUGCCUCGUGGAAAAGGCGAAAUGUUUUUC
rnacentral:sRNA from 2 species